CGGGGAUGCUUUUACCAUGCAAGUCGAACGGCAGCACGGGGCAACCUGGUGGCGAGUGGCGAACGGGUGAGUAACAUAUCGGAACAUGUCCGGAAGUGGGGGAUAACGUAGCGAAAGUUACGCUAAUACCGCAUAUGCCCUGAGGGGGAAAGGGGGGGAUCGCAAGACCUCUCGCUUUCGGAGUGGCCGAUAUCGGAUUAGCUAGUAGGCGAGGUAAAGGCUCACCUAGGCGACGAUCCGUAGCUGGUCUGAGAGGACGACCAGCCACACUGGAACUGAGACACGGUCCAGACUCCUACGGGAGGCAGCAGUGGGGAAUUUUGGACAAUGGGGGCAACCCUGAUCCAGCCAUACCGCGUGAGUGAAGAAGGCCUUCGGGUUGUAAAGCUCUUUCGGCAGGAAAGAAAACGUGCAGGCUAAUAUCCUGUAUGGAUGACGGUACCUGAAGAAGAAGCACCGGCUAACUACGUGCCAGCAGCCGCGGUAAUACGUAGGGUGCGAGCGUUAAUCGGAAUUACUGGGCGUAAAGCGUGCGCAGGCGGUUCCGCAAGACAGAUGUGAAAUCCCCGGGCUUAACCUGGGAACUGCAUUUGUGACUGCGAGACUAGAGUGUAGCAGAGGGGGGUAGAAUUCCACGUGUAGCAGUGAAAUGCGUAGAUAUGUGGAGGAAUACCGAUGGCGAAGGCAGCCCCCUGGGCUAACACUGACGCUCAUGCACGAAAGCGUGGGGAGCAAACAGGAUUAGAUACCCUGGUAGUCCACGCCCUAAACGAUGUCAACUAGGUGUUGGGGAAGGAGACUUCUUUAGUACCGCAGCUAACGCGUGAAGUUGACCGCCUGGGGAGUACGGUCGCAAGAUUAAAACUCAAAGGAAUUGACGGGGACCCGCACAAGCGGUGGGAUUAUGUGGAUUAAUUCGAUGCAACGCGAAAAACCUUACCUACCCUUGACAUGUCAGGAAGAUUUCAGAGAUGAGAUUGUGCCCGAAAGGGAACCUGAACACAGGUGCUGCAUGGCUGUCGUCAGCUCGUGUCGUGAGA
rnacentral:rRNA from 1 species